AAUCAUUGCUCCGAGCGAAACAGGGGAGAAGAAAUGUCAAUUGUGCAAAUAUCUUUUUUAAAUCGUUCGCAUCGUGUAAUAAUUGUGUGAAUUUCAAAGUUGUGGACAUUUUCCAUCGAAUGAUAACCGGGGAGGGGGGGGGGGGUGUGUUGCGAUGUUCGGGCGGCAUGUUUCCGUCAGUUUGAGCUAUAUUUUAAUCUUAAUUUGUUCUAUCUUCCAGCGUGAAGCCACUCAAACGUGUCGAGUUGCACGCCGAAAGCUCUUUUGAUUCAGUCCUGUCACGCAGGCUUUGCGCGUGCACGCGGGCUCUCGGGCUCUCGGGGCGUCUCUCCUCCGUCCGUCCGCCCGCCGGCUGGAUGGUUCACUUUGACUCGGCGCGUCCUGUCUGAAGCUCGUCUCCGGAUGCUACUCUGGAAACAGCCUCCACGGAACGCCUGCAGGGAGGUCAGACGAGGUUGGACGGUCUGCUGACUUGAAUAUCCGCCCGUCCCUCCUCUCUACUCUGGCUUCGAGGAGAAGAAGAAGCACCAAUAAACCUUAGAACUAUCUUUUUUUCUUAGUUCUUCGGGAAGACGAUGCAAUAAAUCUGCUCCUUCAUCUCAACCGUGGGCCCUAGACAACACACUCGGACGCCUACAUAUUUAACGCGACCCACCCUGGAGCGCUCCCCCCGAGCCGAAGGCCCCCGGCCGCUCAUCUGGAGAGCCGCCCGGCGGCCGUGCAUCCCGCCGCCCGCUUCACAUUAACGAUGGCGUGUGGGUGGAGGCACAGACGGCCACGAUGGGGAUGACGCUUUGCUGGGGUUAAAGAGACGAGAGGUCACUUGAAGCUUGUUUCUCUAAGAGGCGGAGAACAGCUUUUUCAAUCCGGGGGAUGUUUUGUCCAUCGAGGUCCUUUUUGAUUGAGAGGUCUUUUAGGUUUAGGGUUGCAAUGUUCUUCAGAGACUCUGGAUCCAGCCCUGACCUUUUUCCCAGGAGCGCUGUAGGGCGAAGUGCUUUGGAACAAACAUUUACCGUAAUUACUUUUAAUAGGCUUCCUGGGGAGAUGCUUUUUCUUUUUUUUUUUUCUUAUAUGGGGCCUCUGGUUUUUGGUAGGCGAUGAGCAUAUAAACUGAUCACUGACUUCAAAGUCGGUCUUCUCUAAAAGAAAAUUAAUCUAGUCCAAAAAUCUUGUUUGAAGGGUACUAAUUAAACACUGGGGAUUAUUGAAAACAAGGCCAAUCACUGACUAAAGAUCUUUCAUAAAUGCAAACCAUUGUGAUGUAGAUAGAUAGUGAAAAUAGAUAGAAAAGAUAUAAUAAAAAAUAGAAUAGAUAGAAAAAAAUGUGCAACCGUACAAGAUGUCAAAUGGAUUGUAUUUCCUUACAC